AGAAGUAUUUGGAUGAUAGUUUGCAGGAUCGAAUUGAGAGCAUGUACGAUGAAUACAACAGGAAUGACGAAAAUAUGUUUGAGAGUGACAAACAUGAUCAUGAGGAAAUGAGUAAAAGGCUUAACGAUCAUUCCAGAAAGUCUAUUAAGCAGUUCUUGAGGAUUGAAGAGUUUAUAGCUAAAUUCAUGAGCUGCUAUAAGGGUUGCACACAUACGAAAUCUUUGCCCCAUGACGGUCCGACAUAAGGAGACUUCUUAUUGGUCGGCCAAACUAACUCCCAGAAGGAAUCAUGCAUCCUAAGAUUUCCUCUUGGGAGCCUUUUUCUUAUUACAAAUAUGAUCAUAGUACAAGGCUUCAAACUACUUAUCGAGUAGUGUUACAAUGAAUAAGGUGAUGCGACGAAAAUGUUUGUCAUGAACAUUUUGAUGAGACUAAAAACAGUGCUAUUUCCUGUAUGAUGUAAAUUGAUAAGACAUGGUUUUGUUUUAAGCAAUGUAUAUUACCAGUUAUAUGCUCACAAAGCGACUCGGC